rnacentral:rRNA from 1 species
GAUGAACGCUAGCGGCAGGCCUAAUACAUGCAAGUCGAACGAGAUUAAGAGGCUUGCUUCUUAUGAAAGUGGCGCACGGGUGCGUAACGCGUAUGCAACCUACCUUAAUCAGGGGGAUAGCCCGAAGAAAUUCGGAUUAAGACCGCAUAAAAACACAGGAUAGCAUUAUCCAAUGUUCAAAUAUUUAUAGGAUUACGAUGGGCAUGCGUGUCAUUAGCUAGUUGGCGGGGUAACGGCCCACCAAGGCGACGAUGACUAGGGGAUCUGAGAGGAUGACCCCCCACACUGGUACUGAGACACGGACCAGAAUCCUACGGGAGGCAGCAGUAAGGAAUAUUGGUCAAUGGAGGGAACUCUGAACCAGCCAUGCCGCGUGCAGGAAGACAGCCCUCUGGGUCGUAAACUGCUUUUAUUCGGGAAUAAACCUUUCUACGUGUAGGAAGCUGAAUGUACCGAAGGAAUAAGGAUCGGCUAACUCCGUG